rfam:Trichomonas vaginalis G3, whole genome shotgun sequence.
CAUCCAGCUCCACUCCGAACCUGGAAAUUAAGCAGUCGCGGGCCACAUCAGUACUGGGCUGGGCGACUUCCCGGGAACGUGCGGUGCUUGCUUCUU